rnacentral:rRNA from 1 species
GAUGAACGCUGGCGGCGUGCCUAAUACAUGCAAGUCGAACGGACAGGCGCGGCGCUUGCGCCUCUCUCGUUUGCGGAACGCGGGUGUAUCACGUGUGGAUCCCCUCCCUGUAAGUCUGAGAUCACUUCGGGACACCGGCGCUUAUCCCGGAUAAUAUAUUGCUCCACGUGGUUCGAUGGUGAGAGUCGGUUUUGCUGGCACUUCUCGCUGGAUCCGCGCCGCAUUAGCUAGUUGGUGAGGUAACGGCUUACCAAGGCAACGAUGCGUAGCCGACCUGAGAGGGUGAUCGGCCACACUGGAACGGAGACACGGUCCAGACUCCUACGGGAGGCAGCAGUAGGGAAUCUUCCGCAAUGGGCGAAAGCCUGACGGAGCAACGCCGCGUGAGUGAUGAAGGUCUUCGGAUCGUAAAACUCUGUUAGUAGGGAAGAACAAAUGUGUAAGUAACUAUGCACGUCUUGACGGUACCUAAUCAGAAAGCCACGGCUAACUACGUG